rnacentral:rRNA from 1 species
GAUGAACGCUAGCGACAGGCCUAACACAUGCAAGUCGAGGGGCAGCACAUGAGUAGCAAUACGAUGGUGGCGACCGGCGCACGGGUGAGUAACACGUAUGCAACCUACCUUCUACCAGGGGAUAACCCGUUGAAAGACGGACUAAUACCCUAUAAUACAGGGGCUCCGCAUGGAGAUAUUUGUUAAAGAUUCAUCAGUAGAAGAUGGGCAUGCGCAUGAUUAGCUAGUUGGCGGGGUAACGGCCCACCAAGGCAUCGAUCAUUAGGGGUUCUGAGAGGAAGGUCCCCCACACUGGUACUGAGACACGGACGAGACUCCGACGGGGGGAAGCAGUGAGAAAUAUUGUUCAAGGGGCGAGGGCCUGAACCAGCCAAGUCGCGUGAAGGAAGACUGUCCUAUGGUUUGUAACCUUCUUUGGUACGGGAAUAAAGGGGGCUACGUGUGGCUUUUUGUAUGUCCCGUACGAAUAAGGUUCGGCUAACUCCGUGCCAGCCGCCGCGGUAA